UACGUAGGGUGCGAGCGUUGUCCGAAAUUAUUGGGCGUAAAGAGCUCGUAGGCGGUUUGUCGCGUUGUUCGUGAAAACUCACAGCUCAACUGUGGGCGUGCGGGCGAUACGGGCAGACUAGAGUACUGCAGGGGAGACUGGAAUUCCUGGUGUAGCGGUGGAAUGCGCAGAUAUCAGGAGGAACACCGGUGGCGAAGGCGGGUCUCUGGGCCGACACUGACGCUGAGGCGCGAAAGCUAGGGGAGCAAACGGG
rnacentral:rRNA from 1 species